CUGGAGUCCAAUCAAUGAGAUGAGAUUGGAGGUGUUGGUUACAGCUGCCCUAUAAAAAACACACACCAGUUCUGGGUUUGCUUUUCACAAGAAGCAUUACCUGAUGUGAAUGAUGCCUCGCACAAAAGAGCUCUCAGAAGACCUACGAUUAAGAAUUGUUGACUUGCAUAAAGCUGGAAAGGGUUAUAGAAGUAUCUCCAAAAGCCUUGCUGUUCAUCAGUCCACUGUAAGACAAAUUGUCUAUGAAUGGAGAAAGUUCAGCACUGCUGCUACUCUCCCUAGGAGUAGCCGUCCUGUAAAGAUGACUGCAAGAGCACAG